CCUCUGCAGCACGUGGCUGCCCAUCCCUGCUCCUGCUCCAGCUUUUUGGAAGAGAUAGGGAAACUCUCCACGCUGUGUUUUCCCAGUGAGAAUUAACUGUACACACAUCCAUCCAUCUCUUUCGCGUUCCUAUUAUGGACAUCAUAUCCCUCUGAUUCUUCAGGGGACGGCUGCUGUUUGCAAGUGUGACCUUCAUUCCAAGUGAUGCCUGUGUUCAAAUGAGCGCGCCACCCCUGUCUCUACAUGUGGACACACGUGUACGGCACAUGCCAACAUCCCAACAUCUGAUGCUGUAGAGCCCGGAAUGCAGUUACCUUUUUUGUAAUACUGCUAACAUGAUGCUGUUAAUGUAUUCUGUUACUCCCCAAGCUGAAAAUAAAUAAAUAACUUGUAGUUAAUCAUCAUUGAACACUUAGUA